rnacentral:rRNA from 1 species
GUGGGGAAUAUUGGACAAUGGGCGAAAGCCUGAUCCAGCCAUGCCGCGUGUGUGAAGAAGGUCUUCGGAUUGUAAAGCACUUUAAGUUGGGAGGAAGGGCAGUAAGUUAAUACCUUGCUGUUUUGACGUUACCGACAGAAUAAGCACCGGCUAACUUCGUGCCAGCAGCCGCGGUAAUACGAAGGGUGCAAGCGUUAAUCGGAAUUACUGGGCGUAAAGCGCGCGUAGGUGGUUUUGUAAGUUGGAGGUGAAAUCCCCGGGCUCAACCUGGGAACUGCCUCAAAAACUACUGAGCUAGAGUACGGUAGAGGGUAGUGGAAUUUCCUGUGUAGCGGUGAAAUGCGUAGAUAUAGGAAGGAACACCAGUGGCGAAGGCGACUACCUGGACUGAUACUGACACUGAGGUGCGAAAGCGUGGGGAGCAAACAGGAUUAGAAACCCCAGUAGUCC